rnacentral:lncRNA from 1 species
CUUCUGCAUCAGAACGCAAGCUGCCGUAUAAACCCCCGGGCAGUGGCUCUUUGGGCCUCCCGGCUUGGGCACAUUUAGCCACAGGAAGCAAGCAACUGAGCAGGGCGCCCUUGGCGCAGGUUGGCAGUGGGUUAAUGAGAAGGUUUCAUUUAACUCUAGAUGGUCCCUGGUGUUCCACCUCACCUCUCCCAGAGUAUGUCAUUGUCCCGAAUGAAAGGGCCCCAGGGCAAUGCUUAGAAAUGAGUUUAAGCUGUUACACAUCAACUAAGGGCAAAGUCCUCUGUGCUUCUGUCCUUCCAGACUGCUCUAUACCAUUACUUUUGACCGAGCAUGGACUCCCUGGGGUUGGGGCUCACGGCUUCCAAAGUAUAUGGCGUGUGUCCCUUGCUAAAACCCUUGUAGUCCCUUCCACAUCGAGCAUAAGGUUCUGUCCACAAUAGUCACUUGAUUUGAAAAACAAAUUCCAAGUAAUAGAAAAUACGAUCUUUCAAAGUAUUUACCGUCCAAAAGCAAUGAUGCUGAUACUAAGCCAAGAAACUUGGAAGUCUGUUUGCGUCCACCCUUUCACCUCAAAUAAUGCAGAUUGGUUUCACAGCCCACCAUGUCUCACGGAUGUUGUCUGGUUCCCUCUGGCCGUCGGUGCUCGGAUCUGGGAGAGGAGUUUGGGCAUUCGUUAACUUUGCCAAUGACAGUGAUAUAUCAUCUAUAAUAUAUGAUACGUGAUAUAGCCGGCAGAGCCAAACAAGUCACUCCGAGAGUGAGUUAUUGGCUUUCUGGACAGAAAAGGUGUUGGGUCAAGUCCAAAAACAGCACUGAAUUUUCCUACUCUGUGAGCAGCAAGAAAAAUGAGGGCCAAGGUGACCACAAUCCUAUCUAGCCUCCACAUCUGCAUUUACCAAGAUGUUUUUAAAGUCCUCGAGGUUAACUCGAGAGAGGCAGUAAAAACGGACCCAAACCGGAGAGAUGGAAAGGGUGCCUUCCCGUCUCUUGGAACAAUUAGGCAUCAGGCAGCCUGGCCACCGAGGGAGACCCAGGCAACCUGCCCAGGGAGACCAGGCAGAGGUCAGGCAAAGAACCGAAAGCGUUCUGCAAGGGGGGUGGGAGUUUUAAAAAAUUAAAAACAGGUCAACGAGGAAGCCAGGGGUGGAAACCAAACCCUGAGGCCGGACCUGUGGUCGCACACCAUCCAGAACAGGGUGUCACCCCGAACUCUGCGAGUUCAGCCUCGCCCGUGCCAAUGCAUGGAGUCCUCCCCUCGGCUUGGAGGAAUCUUAAUUUUUCUCAGGGUGAUUCGGCUUCGCUUCAACCCGAGGGGUGAGGAGGGGAACCAAUUCUGGGACCUCCUUACUGCCCUCUGAAACUGCAGCUGGUGUUUUUUAACCCAGCACCUUCAAACAAAGGGAGAGCCAUGGUAGCUUCCUGCUGGGGUUUGGGUCGUGCUUGCUACCGAGGCAUUAAUCAGGGUUCUGACAUAGCUGGAAAGGGCUGGUUUCCUCUUCACGUAUAGAAUCAUAAAGGGGGCAUAACAUUCAAACAAAAGGCCAAGGAAACCUCUCCCAAAGAUCCUAUCAACUGCAGUUAUGGACCAAGGAGUCUGGCCAGAAGGGAAAGCCCAUUUUAGAAAAGGACCCUGUUUUUCCAGGCAGUGACAUUCCUGUUACUCCGGAUAUGACUAUAGUUCCAAAGAGGUCACUGGGGUAGACCUUGACUUCAUCUGGCUUUUAGGGAGUGGCCAGUGACUCGUGGCAGGGUUAGUUUUCCCCAUCUCUAGCAUUAAGGAGUGUGCAUAUCCGACGCUUGAGAUAAUGUCCUUCUAUCCUAUUGAUUUUACCUCUUUCGCAUUGUUCAGCACGAGUAGAGUUUUGCGGAGACCUUCCAGCCUCAGUGGGUGGAGCCUAACUCGUCUAAGCUAACCUUGGUGAUGCUGCAGCCCUGCAGCGUUCUGAUAUACCUGCCUACCAGGAUGCCUUUGGAAAUGGGCACUUGACUCAGUGCACAUUAAUUAGAGAGGAAGGAAAGUUUCCUCAUUGUUAAGAAAGAAUGGCUCAGUGGAAACAAACCCGACUAGGAUCCAUGAGGAUGUGGGUUCGACCCCUGGCUUCGCUCAGUGGGUUAAGGAUCUGGCGUUGCCGGGAGCUGUGGUGUAGGUUGCAGACGCGGUUCAGAUCUGGCGUGGCGGUGGCUGUGGUGGAGGCCGGCAGCUGCAGCUCCGAUUUGACCCCUAGCCUGGGAACCUCCAUAUGCCACACCCGUGGCCCUUAAAAAAAGAAAGAAAGAAAGAGGUGACUUUCCCACAAAGAUGCUGUCACAUGUGGACCUGUGGUCUGAAAGUGCUGCAGACAUCUCCCUGGAGGAUAAAGUCAACUCAGGGAGGAGAUCAGGACAAAGAGAAGAGCAGGGAAAAGAAACUGGGAUUAUGGUAUUACGUCAGCCCCGAAGCCACUUGCCUCUGGACGUCUAGUUUUGUGAGCCUAAAACUUUCUUUUUAGGAAGCAGGUAGAUGGUGACGAGAGAGGGUGGCUGGUCACUGAGGCAGGAACUUGCAGAUCAUCCAGGGGGAUGGAUACCCACUAACUAGACCCAGAGGAUGUUAUCAUUCAGAAGACCUGGUUAUCCCUUAACAAGGAAGGAAAGCCUUUCCAGUGCCUGGAAGACUUAUGUCCUCUAGCUUCCUUUCCCAGUAUCAAGGUGUCGAGUUGGCGGCCUGUAGCCACAACAGUAAAUAAUAAUAGCCUGAUUUGCCUGAAGUUACAUAGCUAGUAAAUAGAGCACAGGAUUUAGACUCUAAUCUCUCUGAGUCCAAAGCCCAAACUUUGAGCAAUUUAUGUAGGCCUUAGUGGCAAUCAAGAGGCUAUUAGGAGGAACAAAAACAAUAGCACACUUUUACCGAGCUCCUGCCUAAUGGCAGGCCCUGGGCCAAGCACUCCAGUGGAUUAGCUAAUCCAAUCCUCAUCAAACCCCAGUGUGAGGGUAGGUAUUAUUCUUCUUCUUCCCAAUUUAGGAAACUGAGGCUUGGAGGGAGAAAGUAAUCGCCAAGGCCACAUGGGUAAUAAGUGAUGGACGCUACAGGAACCACUAUUUUUUAGGGGAUCAUAACCGGGGGAGGGUGAGAAGGGUAGCACCUGGGUUGUUGCCUCUGUUCUGAUCCCAAAUCUGCUUUUCUGAUGGCCUAAGGAAACCAGGUCUGCUUUUGUAGCCAGUGCUGCACGCAUGCUCACUGACAGCUUCUUAUGAUCCAGGCCUUCUUGUUCAGACAUCGUGUUACUGUGCUCUGCCGAUGCCAUUUUUGUUUGUUUUUGUUUUUCUUUCUUUUUCUUUUCUUUUCUUUCUUUCUUUCUUUCUUUCCUUCUUUCUUUCUUUCUAACAAAUUGAAGGUUUGAGCAGGUCUAUGGACACCAUUUUCCACCAGCUUUUGUUCACUUUGUAUCUCUGUGUCACAUUUUGGUAAUUGUCACAAUAUUUCAACCGUUUUCAUUAUUACUAUAUUUGUUAUGUGAGCAGCAAUCUUUUUUUUUUUUUCUUUUUUGGUCACCCUGUAGCAUUAGAAGUUCCCUGGGCCAGGGAUCAGAUCCACGCCACAGUUGCCACCUAAGCCACAGCUGUGGCAACACUGGAUCCUUUAACACAACUGUACCAGGCCGGGGAUGGAAGCUGUAUCCUAGUGCACCCAGCAUGCCGCUAAUCCUGUUGUGCCACAGCGGGAACUCCUGGUCAGUGAUCUUUGGUGUUACCUUUGCAAAAAAAUUAUGACUUGAAGGUUCAGAUGAUGGUUAGCAUUUUUUUGUGAUAAAGUAUGUUUAAAUUAAGGUACUACGCACAUUGCUUUUUUAGACGCAAGUGGACUGUUGUAUACUUACUAGACUACACUAUAGGGUAAACACAACUGUUAGACACACUUGGAAACCAUAAACAAUUUGUGUGAUUUGCUUUAUUGUAUGCAAUGUUUGCUUUAUUGUGGUGGUCUGUGAGUGAUAGCUUGAAGUAAGAUCUCUGAGGUUUGCUUAUGUUCACACUCCAAAAACUUUUGUCGGGAAUUCCCGUCAUGAUGCAGCAGAAACAGAUCCAACUAGGAACCAUGAGGUUGUAGGUUCGAUCCCUGGCCUCGCUCAGUGGGUUAAGGAUCCGGUGUUGCCAUGAGCUGUGGUGUGGGUCGCAGACGAGGCUCAGAUCCUGUGUUGCUGUGGCUGUGGUAUAGUCCUGCAGCUGUAGCUCUGAUUCAACCCCUAGCCUGGGAAUCUCCAUAUGCUGUGGGAGCAGUCCUAAAAAGCAGACAAACAAACAAACAAAAAACCUUUUGUCACAAAAGUAUUAGAUAGUUGAGUUGGUAUUGGUUAGCCUUUGAAAUUGAUGCCUUACAGUUGAGAUUUUAGAAGCUCUUCUCACAGUCUGUUGUUGGUUUUCAGAAACCAACUUGGUACUCUUGUGGGGUUUUUCUCGUUAACAUCAGUUUCAGAAGGUGACAUGGGCUGGCCUUCUUCCUACAGCCCAGGAGUCUACUUUAUUUGUAUCCUGUUGACCUCUCCUUACCAUCCUCAGCAUUUUUGGUGGUGUUGAGUUGCCCAUUCUUGCCUGAACCACACGUCUAUGCACCGAAGUAUGUUUCUCUUGGUUCUUUAUUAUGUCUUUAUUUUUGAAUUGAAUUGUUCUAUGUUUAGAAAGCGUCUCUCUCCCAACAAAAUGGCAAACUUCUUACAGGCAUUGGCUGUGUCUUCUGCUUCCUACCCAUUCCCCACAGCACCAAACAGAGUGUCGAGCACGUAGUAAGCAUUCAGUGAAUGCUGAUGGAAUUGAAUUACGAACUAUUGUCUCAUGUUCAGUCUUUCCUCAAGGGCUUUUGGUUAGAACAUUUGGCCGGAAUGCCAUACAGACAAAACUGAGUUAGGAAAAAAACAUGCAAUAUAUGUUACAGUCAAGGCUCAGGAUUUCACAUUACCUAAUGCUUUGACUUCUUUUCAAAUCAGUUAGUUAUUAUCUGGUCUCACAAACAUUGCUUUUCUUUUCAUAUCUCUAGGCGGGAAUUUUCUUCUCUUUGCCUCCUAAUUUCACAUUUUCCCUUCUCAAACAAAUAUUUGAGCAAGGCCUUUCUUCUGGCUGAAGAAAUCACUGUUGUUACCAUCCCAUGGUGGCCUAAUUUAGAACACAUGUCAUUUCACUUCUGUCUUCUUCUUUUUUUUCCUUUUUUUUUUUUUUUUUGACAUUAACAGCUACAUGUAGGUGACAAAAUUUCCAAGCGAUAUGGAGGGCCCAGCCCUCACUGUCUUUGUAGCUUGGACUUUUUUUUUUUUUUUGUCUUUUUAGGGUCGCACCUGUGACAUAUGGAAGUUCCCAGGCUAGGGGUCGAAUCAGAGCUACAGCUGCCAGCCUACACCACAGCCACAGCAAUGCGGGAUCCGAGCUGUGCUUGCGACCUUCACCAUAGCUCAUGGCAAUGCCGGAUCCCUGACACUGAGCGAGGCCAGGGAUCGAACCUCCGUCCUCAUGGAUACUAGUCGGGUUCAUUACCCCUGAGCCAUGAUGGGAACUCCUGUAGCUUGCACUUUGAAGGGCGAAAGACAGAGCACUCACACAAAACAAAGCACACACAUUGGAGGAUUCCAGUGCAGGAGGAACCUUGGAGAAGUCAUCCAUUUUAACCUCAUUUGGCCCCUUCAGGAAGUCAGCCCCUAACUCACUGCCAAAAUUGUGCUGAUUCCUACUGAAGGCUUCCAAACCCCUCUCAGAGUUCUGCCACCACUGCUGUCUCUGUAACUGCGUACUCUGUGCCUCAGACUGGGUGGCCACAGUCCCAUGCUCUUGGUGCCUGGGCAGGGCUUGUGGGGGGGGGAUCUGCUCCUUCGUGGGGGAACCAGCAGGCCUGUCUGCCCACCUUCAGUGCUGAGAUCUCCUGGAACCGACAAGUUCAAUACCUGGAUUUAGGCAGCAGUGGCCCCCUUAAGCGGAUGUGCCUGAGCACCGACGUCCAUGGAGGCGGAAGGGCCCUUCCCUGCACCCCAGCCCUUGCCCUGCGCCCCUCUGCACCUGUGGCUGUUUGAAAUCCCCACGCUGCCAGCUUUGCUCCCAGGAAUCCCUGCUCAGGGGGUCCGGGCCUGCUCUCCACAGCCCCUUCCCUUGUGCUUGGCUUUCGUCUCGAGUCCACAGUUCUGGCAAGUCCUGACUUCUUCAAAGCCAGUGUGAGGAGAGUGCACGUUCAAAAUCAUCUGCCUGGGGUUGGAGGGAGUGGAAAAUGGAAAACAUUCUCGUUUUGGAGUCAUCUCAUCCUUUUGGAAAAAAUCUGAAUCCUCUACUGGUUUAUUGUUUGUAGGCUGCCAAAUGUGUUCUUUUUUUUUUUUUUUUUUUUCCAAAACAGAGGAAACCAUCUUUGAAUCUCAUUCUUAAUAACACACAAAUGAUAUGCAAUGCUUUUCCCACCCUCUGCAAAAUUGCCAGAGAAGGUGGGGAUAGGGUUUGGUUUCUUGUUGUUGUUGAUCACAAACAGUUCCCCGUGGAGCCACUUGGAGCAAAAGCAAGAUGCUGGUCAGGCGAUCACUAGCCCGCACGUCCAGAGAGUUCCCAUCCUGGAGAUUUGUCCGCCCUUAACCGCCGUGCUGCCUACUUCGACAAAAAGAAAUACACGACAAACGGAUGCCGGCUACUUGCUUCUGAGAUGUAUCGUCUUCUAAGGUUUCCCCUGACCACACUGCAGUGGGGGAAAGACUCUGAGUUUCCAUUUGUUAGGGGCAUGCCUUUUUGACUUGCUGAAAGGCUUUCCUUAUUGUAAAGCACCGUUUAAACAUAAACAAUGAAACCUCAUAAAGCCCAAAUUCUGUUUACUCAAAAGGGUAGGUAACUGGAAACUAGAAUAUAAAGUCAUAGAUUUUU